CGGGGCGAAGAUAAGACGGAUUAGCGGCGGACGGGUGAGUAACACGUGAGUAACCUGCCUUUUACACAGGGAUAGCCUCGGGAAACCGGGAUUAAAACCUGAUGAAACUAUCAAAUCACAUGAUUAAGAAAGUUAAAACUCCGGUGGUAAAAGAUGGACUCGCGUCCCAUUAGCUAGUUGGUGAAGGUAGCGGCCCACCAAGGCAACGAUGGGUAGCCGGCCUGAGAGGGUGAACGGCCACAUUGGAACUGAGAAACGGUCCAAACUCCUACGGGAGGCAGCAGCC
rnacentral:rRNA from 1 species